UGGGGAAUUUUCCGCAAUGGGCGAAAGCCUGACGGAGUGACGCCGCGUGUGGGACGAAGGCCUUCGGGUCGUAAACCACUGUCAGUGGGAAAGAUGGGUGUCGACGCGAUAACCGUCGGCAUCUGACGGUACCUGCAGAGGAAGCCCCGGCCAACUCUGUGCCAGCAGCCGCGGUAAGACAGAGGGGGCAAGCGUUGCUCGGAAUUACUGGGCGUAAAGGGCGCGUAGGCGGGAUGGCAAGUCGGUCGUGAAAUCCUUCGGCUCAACCGAAGAACGUCGAUCGAUACUGCUGUUCUUGAGGAUUGCAGAGGAGACUGGAAUUCCCGGUGUAGCGGUGAAAUGUGUAGAGAUCGGGAGGAACACCGGUGGCGAAGGCGGGUCUCUGGGCAAUUCCUGACGCUGAGGCGCGAAAGCGUGGGGAGCAAACGGGAUUAGAUACCCGCGUAGUCC
rnacentral:rRNA from 1 species